rnacentral:rRNA from 1 species
ACUAGUAGAUAUUUUCUUUAAAUCUAAAAUAUAUGGCGGUAUUUAAUCUAUUCAGAGGAACCUGUUUCUUAAUUGAUAGUCCACGAUUUAAUUUACUUAAAUUUUAGGUUUGUAUAUCGUUGUGAUUAAUUAUUUUAAUAAAAUUAUUAAUGAUUAAUAUUUUCAAUAAAAUUUAAAUCAGAUCAAGAUGCAGUUUAUGUUUAAGAGUAUAAUGGGUUACAUUUAAUAUAUUAUUGGUUUAAAAAAUUUAAGUUUAAUAAUAAAUUGGAUUUGUAAGUAAUAUUAUUUAAAUAUUUAAUAUGAUUUUAGUUCUAAAAUAUGC